GUCGGCGUAGUAUAGCCUGGUUAAUGCCCCAGACUCAUAAUCUGGUGAUCGGGGGCUCAAAUCCCUCCGCCGACA
rnacentral:tRNA from 1 species